rnacentral:rRNA from 1 species
CCUACGGGUGGCAGCAGUGGGGAAUAUUGGACAAUGGGGGCAACCCUGAUCCAGCCAUGCCGCGUGUGUGAAGAAGGCCCUCGGGUUGUAAAGCACUUUCAGUGAGGAAGAACGCCUGGUGGUUAAUACCCAUCAGGAAAGACAUCACUCACAGAAGAAGCACCGGCUAACUCCGUGCCAGCAGCCGCGGUAAUACGGAGGGUGCGAGCGUUAAUCGGAAUUACUGGGCGUAAAGCGCGCGUAGGUGGCUUGAUAAGCCGGUUGUGAAAGCCCCGGGCUCAACCUGGGAACGGCAUCCGGAACUGUCAAGCUAGAGUGCAGGAGAGGAAGGUAGAAUUCCCGGUGUAGCGGUGACAUGCGUAGAGAUCGGGAGGAAUACCAGUGGCGAAGGCGGCCUUCUGGACUGACACUGACACUGAGGUGCGAAAGCGUGGGUAGCAAACAGGAUUAGAUACCCUAGUAGUC